CGCCUCAUUUCCGGUGCUCUCUUUCGCUGGGUCGCUCGGGUCGGCUUCGGUCGCCGUCGCUCCCGCUCUCCCACCUUCGCCAACCGUCGGUCGGGCCUCUACCGCUGCCGCGUCGCUUCCUCGAUCCCUCGAUCGCAUAUUCUCCACAAUGCAGCGCCGGGACGACCCCGCCGCGCGCAUGAGUCGGUCCUCAGGCCGCAGCGGCUCCAUGGACCCCUCAGGUGCCCACCCCUCGGUGCGUCAGGCGCCGUCUCGGCAGCCGCCGCUGCCUCACCGGUCCCGGGGAGGCGGAGGGGGGUCCCGGGGGGGCGCCCGGGCCUCGCCCGCCACGCAGCCGCCGCCGCUGCUGCCGCCCUCGACCACGGGUCCCGACGCGACUGUGGGCGGUCCAGCGCCGACCCCGCUGCUGCCCCCCUCAGCCACUGCCUCGGUCAAGAUGGAGCCGGAGAACAAGUACCUGCCCGAACUCAUGGCCGAGAAGGACUCGCUCGACCCGUCCUUCACUCACGCCAUGCAGUUGCUGACGGCAGAAAUUGAGAAGAUUCAGAAAGGGGAUUCAAAAAAGGACGAUGAGGAGAAUUACUUGGAUUUAUUUUCUCACAAGAACAUGAAGCUGAAGGAGAGGGUUCUGAUACCUGUCAAGCAGUAUCCCAAGUUCAAUUUUGUGGGGAAGAUCCUUGGACCACAAGGGAAUACAAUCAAAAGACUGCAAGAAGAGACUGGUGCAAAGAUUUCUGUGUUGGGAAAGGGCUCAAUGAGAGACAAGGCCAAGGAGGAAGAGCUGCGCAAAGGUGGAGACCCCAAAUAUGCCCACUUGAAUAUGGAUCUGCAUGUCUUCAUUGAAGUUUUUGGACCCCCGUGUGAGGCUUAUGCUCUUAUGGCCCAUGCUAUGGAGGAAGUCAAGAAGUUUCUAGUACCAGAUAUGAUGGAUGAUAUCUGCCAGGAGCAGUUCCUAGAGCUCUCCUACUUGAAUGGAGUACCAGAGCCCUCUCGCGGACGUGGGGUGCCGGUGAGAGGCCGGGGAGCUGCACCUCCUCCUCCACCUGUUCCCAGGGGCCGAGGUGUUGGACCACCUCGGGGGGCUUUAGUGCGUGGUACACCAGUGAGAGGAGCCAUCACCAGAGGUGCCACUGUGACUCGAGGAGUGCCACCCCCACCUACUGUGAGGGGUGCUCCAGCACCAAGAGCACGGACAGCAGGCAUCCAGAGAAUACCUUUGCCUCCACCACCUGCACCAGAAACUUAUGAAGAAUAUGGAUAUGAUGAUACAUAUGCAGAACAGAGUUAUGAAGGCUACGAAGGCUAUUACAGCCAAAGCCAAGGGGACUCAGAAUAUUAUGACUAUGGACAUGGGGAGGUUCAAGAUUCUUAUGAAGCAUAUGGCCAAGAUGACUGGAAUGGGACCAGGCCGUCGCUGAAGGCCCCUCCAGCUAGGCCGGUGAAGGGAGCAUACAGAGAGCACCCAUAUGGACGUUAUUAAAAACAAACAUGAGGGGAAAAUAUCAGUUAUGAGCAAAGUUGUUACUGAUUUCUUGUAUCUCCCAGGAUUCCUGUUGCUUUACCCACAACAGACAAGUGCUUGAAAACUCCUGAGGCAUUUCUUGGAGUAGAAUGGGUAGUGAAGACCCAUGUCAGAUGAAGAGCACAGCUACAGGCUUUGGCAUAAGAUUAGGGCUCUGACCUGUGCCCCAGGCUUAGGAUGUGUCUCUCCUGUGGAUAACGCCGAGAACUGGGGGCUAGGAAGAACCCCUCAUAAGGCCAGAAGAGGUGGACCCCGGAGCCUAGGAUUGAGGUACUAAUAAUAGCUACGAGAAGAUUCCUGUUCCCCAUUCCCUUUUUUUCAAAAGAUUUAAAGCUCUUUGUCAAUCGUUAUCUUUUUCACAUCUCUGAGAGAGCAGAGAUUAUUUUCCCCUUAAUAUAGCUGGAGGCCCCAAAGCUUGUAUAGUUAAAGGCCCCAAAGGUCUAGUUGAUUCUGCCCCAGAUCACUCAGCUCAGGCAUGGCCAAGGAUGGGAGGUGUGAGGUGUGAGUCUCCAUUUUCAUUGCCUGACGGAUAGCAAAAGGAGCUCAUAGGCUGUGGACUUCUGUUUUCUACCCACCUGUGUACCUAAAAACCUUGUCCUGAAUGCAGCAACGGGGGUUGUGCUGUGGGGUGGGGAGGUUGUGAGGGAGGCAGACCAGCCAAAUGGGAGGCUGGGAAGCCCCCGAUACAGCAACUUCAUGCUUCUUAAUUUUCUGCCUAUGUCUUUGCAGCAUCAGAGGACUCCCGGAAACCAGGAGAGCCGCCUGCUGUGUCAAGGCUGGCCUGAGGGCAUUUGCUGAGCACAGAGAGACCCAGGAGAGGAGAUCGACAGUCUUUUCCCACCCACCUCUUGAUCUGUCUGAUUUACCCACAGAAAGCCACCCAGAAUCCUCUAAGAGUCCCUAGGCCCAGAAUGGAGUCCUUAGGGCUACAGGGGGCUGUGAUGCUAACAGUUAAACCUGCUUAGGACUUUAAAGAAUUGAAAGGGACUAACAGUAUCCUCAGCAUGGCCUCCUAGACGUGAAUAAACUGGCAGCUCUUACCGUGUCAUUCCCAGUUUGCCUGCUUCCCCUUAGUCUCCAGCAGCACUGGCUGGAACACCCUACCACCACCUAUUUCCCACCCUACCACACGUGUGUUGUGGAUGCCAGCCUUGAACACUUGCAGAGGGCUCCCAGAGAGUGGCUGGUCACCAACUCUGUAACAGGCUGAGGAAAGUCAAGUUAGAAGGUUCGGGUACUUUAGGCAAGUUAUUUAACCUCGGAGCCUGUUUUUCUCUUCAUUUUUGAUUACUAACGUCCAAAGAUCUCCUGAAGGAUAGGGUAGGGCUUUUCCCACUUCACUCUGGACUAUAUCCCUUCCCCAGCAAACAUCUGGCACUGAGGAGCUCAAUAAAGGUUCAGUCAAGUGA